rnacentral:rRNA from 1 species
UNGUAGGUGGUUUGUUGCGUCGUCUGUGAAAUUCCGGGGCUUAACUUCGGGGUGGCAGGCGAUACGGGCAUAACUAGAGUGCUGUAGGGGAGACUGGAAUUCCUGGUGUAGCGGUGGAAUGCGCAGAUAUCAGGAGGANCACCGAUGGCGAAGGCAGGUCUCUGGGCAGUAACUGACGCUGAGGAGCGAAAGCAUGGGGAGCGAACAGGAUUAGAUACCCUGGUAGUCCAUGCUGUAAACGGUGGGCGUUAGGUGUGGGGACCGGUUUGGUUUCUGUGCCGUAGCUAACGCAUUAAGCGCCCCGCCUGGGGAGUACGGCCGCAAGGCUAAAACUCAAAGGAAUUGACGGGGGCCCGCACAAGCGGCGGAGCAUGUGGAUUAAUUCGAUGCAACGCGAAGAACCUUACCUGGGUUUGACAUGCACCAGACGGUUGUAGAGAUACGUACCUCCCUUUGUGGUUGGUGUGCAGGUGGUGCAUGGUUGUCGUCAGCUCGUGUCGUGAGAUGUUGGGUUAAGUCCCGCAACGAGCGCAACCCUUGUCUUAUGUUGCCAGCACUUUGGGUGGGGACUCAUGAGAGACUGCCGGGGUUAACUCGGAGGAAGGUGGGGAUGACGUCAAAUCAUCAUGCCCUUUAUGCCCAGGGCUUCACACAUGCUACAAUGGUUAGUACAACGCGCUGCGAACCUGUGAGGGUGAGCGAAUCGCUGAAAGCUAAUCUCAGUUCGGAUUGGGGUCUGCAACUCGACCCCAUGAAGUCGGAGUCGCUAGUAAUCGCAGAUCAGCAAUGCUGCGGUGAAUACGUUCCCGGGCCUUGUACACACCGCCCGUCACGUCAUGAAAGUUGGUAACACCCGAAGCCCAUGGCCUAACCACCGUUUGGUGGGGG